AUGCCUAUGGGUAUCUAUGGGUAUCUAUGGUGUUUGGCGGCUAGGGUUCGAAGGAAAAAUUAGGGUUUUAAGAAUACGUGACUACGGAUUACUACAGUGUUCUACAAGUGUCUAUAUAUGACUACGGACUACUACGGUAUCCUACAGAUUUCUAUAGAAGACUAUGGUCGACAAAAAAAAAAAAAUCAUAAUUUGCAAUAUUAUGUUGAAAAAAUCAGAAAAAAAUACGAAAAUGCAA
rnacentral:lncRNA from 1 species